GACAGAGGGGGGCAAGCGUUGCUCGGAAUCACUGGGCGUAAAGGGCGCGUAGGCGGGAUGGCAAGUCGGUCGUGAAAUCCUUCGGCUCAACCGAAGAACGUCGGCCGAUACUGCCGUUCUUGAGGGAUGCAGAGGAGAUUGGAAUUCCCGGUGUAGCGGUGAAAUGUGUAGAGAUCGGGAGGAACACCGGUGGCGAAGGCGGGUCUCUGGGCAUUAACUGACGCUGAGGAGCGAAAGCAUGGGGAGCGAACAGG
rnacentral:rRNA from 1 species